rnacentral:lncRNA from 1 species
AUUCUUUAGUAAAUGGUGAUUAACACAGAUUUUCCCACCCAUUCUGAGAAGUCGAUCUAGGGCUUAGGAUCUGAACAAGUUGCUUUGCAUAGGCUCUGCUCUGAAGACUGAGGUGGGUCUGCCACUCUGUAGGCUGAAACACGAGCUCUGGAGACUGUCAUUUGCACUUGUGUCUAGAAGUGCCUGUCUUCUGACUAUCGUAUUCUUCCAUGGAGCACCGGGGUGGCAGAUCUCCAGGAGAACCCAUUCUGCCUUUCAUUGAGGUUGCCUUCCAUCCUGGAGUCAAGUUCUGCCCAACAUCACAGGAUUUAGUUGCCUCCUUCACUCCUUUUUGGCUACUAGGCUACUAUUCUAUAUACUAAGUAUCGCACUCUGAGUCUUCCUGGCCAAUAUAACUGGAUUGAGAAGCACCUAAAAGAUAGAUCUUUGGAAUCUCUGGACUCAUUAAACAGUACCAGUGCCUGGGCCAGCAAGAUGGAUGGCUUGGUGGGUAAAGGUGCCUGCUACAGAGCCUGAGGAUGCCAGCCCAACCCCUGGAACCCACACGGUGGAAGAAAACUAACUUUAACAAGCUGUCUUUUGAUGUCCACAUGUGAGUUGAGGUGUGAGCCCCCCUCCUUAGCUAAACAGACCUAUGUAAUAAAAAAGUAAUUCAAACCAACAACUCUGGUGAUUUUCUGUUUCUGUCUCUCUAGCUGAGUCCACUCAGAUCUACUUCCUGUCUCUGACUAUACCUAUUCCAGGCACUCUGUGCAAUUAUGGAUACUGGUCCUCUUG